CUGACAUUAGAUGAUUGGAAAAAAAGAAACUGCAUGGGAAGGAUGGAUGAUCUAAGGAAAACUAUUUGUGCAACAUUGUUAACUUGGAGUGUUGGUUCCAUAUCCAGAUGAUGGUAGGGAAGCCAAAGACCAACGCCGGCCAUCUGCCCUGAAAGUAACAAGGUCUCAAGCUGACAAUUUUCCCAGCCCUGCCGCUUGAACUCUGUUAACUGUAGAAGCUGAGGAUUGAAGCAGAGACCUCUAAGUGAA